rnacentral:tRNA from 1 species
UUCCUAAUAUAAGAAGUAUAUCUGUCUUCCAAACAGAAAGUUCACUAGAAAAGUGAGGGA